GAUGAACGCUGGCGGCGUGCCUAAUACAUGCAAGUCGAGCGAACAGACGAGGAGCUUGCUCCUCUGACGUUAGCGGCGGACGGGUGAGUAACACGUGGAUAACCUACCUAUAAGACUGGGAUAACUUCGGGAAACCGGGGCUAAUACCGGAUAAUAUAUUGAACCGCAUGGUUCAAUAGUGAAAGACGGUUUUGCUGUCACUUAUAGAUGGAUCCGCGCCGCAUUAGCUAGUUGGUAAGGUAACGGCUUACCAAGGCAACGAUGCGUAGCCGACCUGAGAGGGUGAUCGGCCACACUGGAACUGAGACACGGUCCAGACUCCUACGGGAGGCAGCAGUAGGGAAUCUUCCGCAAUGGGCGAAAGCCUGACGGAGCAACGCCGCGUGAGUGAUGAAGGUCUUCGGAUCGUAAAGCUCUGUUAUUAGGGAAGAACAAAUGUGUAAGUAACUAUGCACGUCUUGACGGUACCUAAUCAGAAAGCCACGACUAACUACGUG
rnacentral:rRNA from 1 species